rnacentral:rRNA from 1 species
UGGGGAAUUUUUGGCAAUGGGCGAAAGCCUGACCAAGCAACGCCGCGUGGGUGAUGAAGUAUCUUGGUACGUAAAACCCUUUCGGCAGGGACGAACCUAAUGACGGUACCUGCGGAAGAAGCCCCGGCUAACUCCGUGCCAGCAGCCGCGGUAAUACGGGGGGGGCAAGCGUUGUUCGGAAUUACUGGGCGUAAAGGGCGCGUAGGCGGUUGGAUAAGUCAGCUGUGAAAACCACGGGCUUAACUCGUGGCCUGCAGUUGAAACUGUCUGGCUUGAGUGUGGGAGAGGAGAGUGGAAUUCCUGGUGUAGCGGUGAAAUGCGUAGAUAUCAGGAGGAACACCGGUGGCGAAGGCGGCUCUCUGGACCACAACUGACGCUGAGGCGCGAAAGCUAGGGGAGCAAACAGGAUUAGAUACCCUGGUAGUCCUAGCUGUAAACGAUGGGUACUUGCUGUGGGGGUGUUAAAUCCCCUGUGGCGGAGCUAACGCAUUAAGUAUCCGCCUGGGGAGUACGGUCGC